AUUGAACGCUGGCGGCAUGCUUUACACAUGCAAGUCGAACGGUAACAGGGUGCUUGCACCGCUGACGAGUGGCGAACGGGUGAGUAAUGCGUCGGAACGUGCCGAGUAGUGGGGGAUAACGCAGCGAAAGUUGUGCUAAUACCGCAUACGUACUGAGGGAGAAAGUGGGGGACCUUCGGGCCUCACGCUAUUCGAGCGGCCGACGUCUGAUUAGCUAGUAGGUGAGGUAAAGGCUCACCUAGGCGACGAUCAGUAGCGGGUCUGAGAGGAUGAUCCGCCACACUGGGACUGAGACACGGCCCAGACUCCUACGGGAGGCAGCAGUGGGGAAUUUUGGACAAUGGGCGAAAGCCUGAUCCAGCCAUGCCGCGUGUCUGAAGAAGGCCUUCGGGUUGUAAAGGACUUUUGUCAGGGAGGAAAUCCCUAGUGCUAAUAACACUGGGGGAUGACAGUACCGGAAGAAUAAGGACCGGCUAACUACGUGCCAGCCGCCGCCGUAA
rnacentral:rRNA from 1 species